rnacentral:rRNA from 1 species
AAAAGCACGUGAAAUUGUUGAAAGGGAAGGGCAUGCAACCAGACUUGUCGGCGGUGUUCCGCCGGUCUUCUGACCGGUCUACUCGCCGCCGGCAGGCCAGCAUCACUUGGGCGCGCCGGAUAAAGGCGCGAGGAAUGUAGCCCCUCGGGGUGUUAUAGCCUCGCGUACAAUACGGCGCCGCCCGAGUGAGGUCCGCGCUUCGGCUAGGAUGCUGGCGUAAUGGUUGUUUGCCGCCCGUCUUGAAACACGGACCAAGGAGUCUAACAUCUAUGCGAGUGUUCGGGUGUCAAACCCCUACGCGGAAUGAAAGUGAACGGAGGUGGGAAGCGCAAGCUGCACCAUCGACCGAUCCUGAUGUCUUCGGAUGGAUUUGAGUAAGAGCAUAGCUGUUGGGACCCGAAAGAUGGUGAACUAUGCCUGAAUAGGGUGAAGC